GUUAUUUAUCAAGCUACAGUCUUGAGGAACGAUAACCUAUUGAACCCUUUCUACUUCUGACAUUGAUGAUGGCGGCCUUAAUAAAAUCUUACAAAUUCGUCGCAGAGAGGGUAGUUUAUGGUGUUUGACUAAGUACCAAAGGAUCUUUACUUUUCGAGUGUUCCAUAUCUUUCCUUUUGUUAUAUUUAUGUUUCUAAAGUCGGUCUUUAAAUCGCAAGGGUGACGGUUAUAAGCAUUCGGAAUGAAUUAAAUCGACCUAAUUCGAUCAAGGAUGAAGAAACAAAUCGUAAUUCAUCUUCAACUUAUAACCGAUAGGUUUAAAUAAUAAAAGAAAAAAAAAAGAAAACAAACGAAUUGAAUUUAAAUUUAAAAGGAACAACACGCGGUUUGAAAUUUCUCGUUAAUUUUAAACAAUGAAAAUAAACGUUUGUAAAUAUA
rnacentral:lncRNA from 1 species